rnacentral:rRNA from 1 species
UACGGAGGGUGCGAGCGUUAAUCGGAAUUACUGGGCGUAAAGGGUGCGUAGGUGGUUUGAUAAGUUAUCUGUGAAAUUCCUGGGCUCAACCUGGGGUGGUCAGAUAAGACUGUUAGACUCGAGUAUGGGAGAGGGUAGUGGAAUUUUCCGGUGUAGCGGUGAAAUGCGUAGAGAUCGGAAGGAACACCAGUGGCGAAGGCGGCUACCUGGCCUAAUACUGACACUGAGGCACGAAAGCGUGGGGAGCAAACAGG